AGAGUUUGAUCCUGGCUCAGGACGAACGCUGGCGGCGUGCCUAAUACAUGCAAGUAGAACGCUGAAGAGAGGAGCUUGCUCUUCUUGGAUGAGUUGCGAACGGGUGAGUAACGCGUAGGUAACCUGCCUUGUAGCGGGGGAUAACUAUUGGAAACGAUAGCUAAUACCGCAUAACAAUGGAUGACACAUGUCAUUUAUUUGAAAGGGGCAAUUGCUCCACUACAAGAUGGACCUGCGUUGUAUUAGCUAGUAGGUGAGGUAAUGGCUCACCUAGGCGACGAUACAUAGCCGACCUGAGAGGGUGAUCGGCCACACUGGGACUGAGACACGGCCCAGACUCCUACGGGAGGCAGCAGUAGGGAAUCUUCGGCAAUGGGGGCAACCCUGACCGAGCAACGCCGCGUGAGUGAAGAAGGUUUUCGGAUCGUAAAGCUCUGUUGUAAGUCAAGAACGGGUGUGAGAGUGGAAAGUUCACACUGUGACGGUAGCUUACCAGAAAGGGACGGCUAACUACGUGCCAGCAGCCGCGGUAAUACGUAGGUCCCGAGCGUUGUCCGGAUUUAUUGGGCGUAAAGCGAGCGCAGGCGGUUUGAUAAGUCUGAAGUUAAAGGCUGUGGCUCAACCAUAGUUCGCUUUGGAAACUGUCAAACUUGAGUGCAGAAGGGGAGAGUGGAAUUCCAUGUGUAGCGGUGAAAUGCGUAGAUAUAUGGAGGAACACCGGUGGCGAAAGCGGCUCUCUGGUCUGUAACUGACGCUGAGGCUCGAAAGCGUGGGGAGCGAACAGGAUUAGAUACCCUGGUAGUCCACGCCGUAAACGAUGAGUGCUAGGUGUUGGAUCCUUUCCGGGAUUCAGUGCCGCAGCUAACGCAUUAAGCACUCCGCCUGGGGAGUACGACCGCAAGGUUGAAACUCAAAGGAAUUGACGGGGGCCCGCACAAGCGGUGGAGCAUGUGGUUUAAUUCGAAGCAACGCGAAGAACCUUACCAGGUCUUGACAUCCCGAUGCUAUUUCUAGAGAUAGAAAGUUACUUCGGUACAUCGGUGACAGGUGGUGCAUGGUUGUCGUCAGCUCGUGUCGUGAGAUGUUGGGUUAAGUCCCGCAACGAGCGCAACCCCUAUUGUUAGUUGCCAUCAUUCAGUUGGGCACUCUAGCGAGACUGCCGGUAAUAAACCGGAGGAAGGUGGGGAUGACGUCAAAUCAUCAUGCCCCUUAUGACCUGGGCUACACACGUGCUACAAUGGUUGGUACAACGAGUUGCGAGUCGGUGACGGCGAGCUAAUCUCUUAAAGCCAAUCUCAGUUCGGAUUGUAGGCUGCAACUCGCCUACAUGAAGUCGGAAUCGCUAGUAAUCGCGGAUCAGCACGCCGCGGUGAAUACGUUCCCGGGCCUUGUACACACCGCCCGUCACACCACGAGAGUUUGUAACACCCGAAGUCGGUGAGGUAACCUUUUGGAGCCAGCCGCCUAAGGUGGGACAGAUGAUUGGGGUGAAGUCGUAACAAGGUAGCCGUAG
rnacentral:rRNA from 1 species